UACAGAGGUCCCAAGCGUUGUUCGGAUUCACUGGGCGUAAAGGGUGCGUAGGCGGUGAGGUAAGUUUGACGUGAAAUCUCCGGGCUCAACCCGGAACUGCGUUGAAUACUAUCUCGCUAGAGGAAUGGAGGGGAGACUGGAAUACUUGGUGUAGCAGUGAAAUGCGUAGAUAUCAAGUGGAACACCAGUGGCGAAGGCAACUC
rnacentral:rRNA from 1 species